CCCUAUGGGGUGCAGCAGGCCUGUAAAUAAAUUUGUUGCCAGAUAUGCAGGGAUAAGGAACUUUUACAGGGUCCGGUACACACACGAUGGUGAUGGAUGGAAAGCAUUCUGCGGCGGAAACCUUGUGUUCAGCAUCGUGGGUGACAAUUUUCCCGGUAACGGGUUACUGAUCCUCAGAAGCGACAAUAUCAGGGUUUCUGUCUUUUGCCCUCCUGAAGCUAAGGUAAAUUGUUUUAAAGGUGUCAUACGAGAAAUCAACCCGUCAGAAUUCGGAAUGGAGAUCAUUGUCGAUGCCGGAGAGACCUUUUAUGCAGAUGUGACAGUGAAUGAAUUUAAAGCCCUUCUGAUAAAAGAAUCGUCGGAGGUUUGGAUUACAUUUGCUCCGGAAGCGGCAAUAGCCCUUCCCGGAACAGGAUGAAAAUGAUAAAUACAGAAAGGACAUGUCGAUGAUAUCAUUCGGGAGAGC
rnacentral:rRNA from 1 species